rnacentral:rRNA from 1 species
AUUGAACGCUGGCGGCAGGCUUAACACAUGCAAGUCGAACGAGUGGCGGACGGGUGAGUCCUGCUUGGGAAUCUGGCUUAUGGAGGGGGAUAACUACGGGAAACUGUAGCUAAUACCGAGUACCAUAGGAUGAGCCCAAGAGGGAUUAGGUAGUUGGUGAGGUAAAGGCGACCCAUGCAGACGAUCUCUAGCUGGUCUGUGAGGAUGAACGGCCACACUGGGAUGGUGACACGGCCCAGACUCCUACGGGAGGCAGCAGUGGGGAAUAUUGCGCAAGUUGGGCAACCUGACGCAGCCAUGCCGCGUGAAUGAAGAAGGCCUUCGGGUUGUAAAGUUCUUUCGGUAGCGAGGCGUUAACUACAGAAGAAGCACCGGCUAACUCCGUGCCAGCAGCCGCGGUAAUAC